rnacentral:rRNA from 1 species
GACGAACGCUGGCGGCGUGCCUAAUACAUGCAAGUAGAACGCUGAAGAGAGGAGCUUACUCUUCUUGGAUGAGUUGCGAACGGGUGAGUAACGCGUAGGUAACCUGCCUUGUAGCGGGGGAUAACUAUUGGAAACGAUAGCUAAUACCGCAUAACAAUGGAUGACAUAUGUCAUUUAUUUGAAAGGGGCAAUUGCUCCACUACAAGAUGGACCUGCGUUGUAUUAGCUAGUAGGUGAGGUAAUGGCUCACCUAGGCGACGAUACAUAGCCGACCUGAGAGGGUGAUCGGCCACACUGGGACUGAGACACGGCCCAGACUCCUACGGGAGGCAGCAGUAGGGAAUCUUCGGCAAUGGGGGCAACCCUGACCGAGCAACGCCGCGUGAGUGAAGAAGGUUUUCGGAUCGUAAAGCUCUGUUGUAAGUCAAGAACGGGUGUGAGAGUGGAAAGUUCACACUGUGACGGUAGCUUACCAGAAAGGGACGGCUAACUACGUG